UGAGGCAGGAGAAUUGCUUGAACCCAGGAGGUGGAGGCUGCAGUGAGCCAAGAUCGUGCUACUGUACUCCAGCCUGGGUGACAGAGCGAAACUCCGUC
rnacentral:miRNA from 1 species